GGCCUCUAGUUGUUUAAUAAUCCAUUUAUUAUAAAUAUAAAUUGAGAUUUUAGUGGUCUUUAGGGAUAUUUUCAGUUAGUUGAUAACACUAUAAAUUUGAUGUGACAAUGGUCAUUAUAAAUGACAGUUCUUUAUAGACUCUCUGAGGUAAGGAAAUCCAAGAGCAAUGAUAUGUCCAAUUUGUCUUAGGUGGCACUUACUCAAAGACAUCUACACCAAAUGGCUAUGAUAAUGGCAUUAUUUGGGCCACUUGGAAAUCUCGUUGGUAUUCCAUGAAGAAAACCACCAUGAAGAUAAUUCCAUUCAACAGAGUCAACGCGGACGGUGGGCAGCAGCACCACAUUGGGGGAUCCAAACAGGCUGGAGACGUUUAAAAGACCAUUUCAAAAGUGAAUUUACUUUUUUAAAGGACUUUAUCUGAAUGAUAAAUAUAAUAUUUUUCAUAUGGGACAAUGGACUCGUAAAGCCAUACUUCAUUUUAAGAGAAAAAAGAACCCAUGUUGAAAACUCCACUAACUGUUUUAUGUUGGUGAUAAUUUAUCUACAUGCCAUUUCAAUAAACAUUGUGUUUCCUAAGA